UGCCCAAUGCCACGUUAUCUGUAGCUUAGUGCAUUGACUGGUAAUGCUAUGAUUGGGCACAUACUGAACUGUUUUAUUGUGUUUCACAUUUUUAUAGGAAUCUUUGGAUUUCAUUAUUGAUGAUCCAUGGAGCCGUUUUUGUGAUUACAUUC